rnacentral:tRNA from 1 species
GCCGGAAUAGCUCAGUUGGGAGAGCAUUAAACUGAAGUUGUUUGCGCAACAAUUAUAUAAAGGCAUCGGUUCAAUCCCGGGUUCCGGCA